rfam:Oryza punctata chromosome 7, whole genome shotgun sequence.
UUUAAACGCAACAACAAGUUCCGUGUUCAACUUAAUUUAAUUGUUCAUCUUAUUUUAACAUUUUUUAUAACUAAUAAUUUAUUAUUAUUAGAUGAUAAAAUAUGAAUAAUAAUUUAUGCGUGACUUAUAUUUUUAUUAUUUUUUAUUUUUUAAAAAUAAGAUGAAUAAUUAAAAUUAGACACGAAAUAUCAUGGCUAUGGUUAAA